rnacentral:rRNA from 1 species
AUACGGAGGGUGCAAGCGUUAUCCGGAUUUAUUGGGUUUAAAGGGUCCGCAGGCGGGCCUGUAAGUCAGGGGUGAAAGCCGGCAGCUUAACUGUCGAAUUGCCUUUGAAACUGCAGGUCUUGAGUAAGAUUGAAGUAGCUGGAAUGUGUAGUGUAGCGGUGAAAUGCAUAGAUAUUACACGGAACACCAAUAGCGUAGGCAGGUUACUAACUCUUAACUGACGCUGAGGGACGAAAGCGUGGGGAGCGAACAGGAUUAGAUACCCUGGUAGUCCACGCCGUAAACGAUGGAUACUGUCUGUUGGGGCUUCGGCUUCAGUGGAUAAGCGAAAGUGAUAAGUAUCCCACCUGGGGAGUACGUUCGCAAGAAUGAA